CUUUUGGAUUUGAUGCCAGCAUCUGCCACUGACUGUUCUGUGUGGAGGACGGAGGACCUGGAAUUGUUCAGGCAGCCCCUUAUUGUGGUCCUUGUGCUAGUGCUUGCUCUUCAGUACGGGGUUUCAGUGGUGCGGGUCAGUAAGCACAUCACUGUUUCACUGGGACUGAGGACUCGUGAGGUGCCAUACAAAAAAUGUUCAGCUACAGAUGCGCUGAAAUCUAAGGCUGUAGGUAACAGUGGACUGCAUGUUCAGCCAUGGAGACCACUCAUUCCCUGCAAUUUUCAGCUAGGAAAAAUCAAAGUAUUUCAAAGCAUGUCCAAUGCAGUCUAAGGUAUAAUAUCGAUCCAAGAGGACUGCAGAGGACUUCACAAGCUGAUGUACUUACUAUACAGAAGAUAAUAGAUAAUAUCACAAUAGUAACUCUAAGUUGAAAUGAAAAGGUCCUACAUGAUUAGCACAUGGAGAAGAUAUCUUUUCUUCUGAAGAGAUCUGAAGCAGGAUAAAAAGUAUAGGAGUUUCACUAUGACAGCCAAUUUAAUUUGUAGUGGCAUUCAUGUUUAACAAAUGAUGAUAGUUGGAAUAAUUUGAUAGAUUUGCAUUGGUAUGAAUAAUUCCUGUACUUGGAAAGUUUUCUUGGGAUACAGUGCUUUCGCUUAAGCACACUCGGCCACUGUAGUUGUGUUGUAAUAAUUGAAGUAGCAAAACUGAAGAUAAGUACUUGAGUGUUUCAAGCUAAUUGGAAAUUUCCCUUUGAUUCUAUUGGAAAUAAUUUUACUUUUUAUCAUUUGACCUGAGUUUUCCAAUUGGAAGUCCUGGCAGCUGCAGUUACUUGCAGCCCUUGGGUUGGUUCACGUUGGGAGGCUUACACAGGCUUCAGAGGCAGAAACUGGUAAGAAUUGCUGGGUUUUGACUUGCAUUGGUACAGAGAAGUGGAUGGUAUUUCUGGGUGUUAUUGGUGUACAAAUAAUAAUACAUUCUGAAAUUAAA